rnacentral:rRNA from 1 species
GAUGCGGAAGGAUCAUUACCACACUUAAAAACUUUCCACGUGACCCGUUUCACCCCAAUAGUUGGGGGUCUUAUUUGGCGGCGGCUGCUGGCUUAAUUGUUGGCGGCUGCUGCUGAGUGAGCCCUAUCAAAAAAAAGGCGAACGUUUGGGCUUCGGCCUGAUUUAGUAGUCUUUUUUUCUUUUAAACCCAUUCCUUAAUACUGAAUAUACUGUGGGGACGAAAGUCUCUGCUUUUAACUAGAUAGCAACUUUCAGCAGUGGAUGUCUAGGCUCGCACAUCGAUGAAGAACGCUGCGAACUGCGAUACGUAAUGCGAAUUGCAGGAUUCAGUGAGUCAUCGAAAUUUUGAACGCAUAUUGCACUUCCGGGUUAGUCCUGGAAGUAUGCCUGUAUCAGUGUCCGUACAUUAAACUUGACUUUCUUCCUUCCGUGUAGUCGGUGGAGGAGAUGUCAGAUGUGAAGUGUCUUGCGAUUGGUCUUCGGACCGGCUGCGAGUCCUUUUAAAUGUACUAAACUGAACUUCUCUUUGCUCGAAAAGUGGUGGCGUUGCUGGUUGUGAAGGCUGCUAUUGUGGCAAAUUGGCGACUGGUUUGUCUGCUGCGGCAUUAAUGGAAGAGUGUUCGAUUCGUGGUAUGGUUGGCUUCGGCUGAACAAUGCACUUAUUGGACGUUUUUCCUGCUGUGGCGUGAUGGACUGGUGAACCAUAGCUCGGUGGCUUGGCUUUUGAAUUGGCUUUGCUGUUGCGAAGUAGGGUGGCAGCUUCGGUUGUCGAGGGUCGAUCCAUUUGGGAACUUAAUGUGUACUUCGGUAUGCAUCUCAAUUGGACCUGAUA